GACGAACGCUGGCGGCGUGCUUAACACAUGCAAGUCGAACGGAAAGGCCCUGCUUGCCGGGUGCUCGAGUGGCGAACGGGUGAGUAACACGUGGGUGAUCUGCCCCUUACUUUGGGAUAAGCCUGGGAAACUGUGUCUAAUACUGGAUAGGACCAUGCUGUAGGUGGUGUGGUGGAAAGAUUAGUUUCGGUAAGGGAUGAGCUCGCGGCCUAUCAGCUUGUUGGUGGGGUAAUGGCCUACCAAGGCGUCGACGGGUAGCCGGCCUGAGAGGGUGGACGGCAACAUUGGGACUGAGAUACGGCCCAGACUCCUACGGGAGGCAGCAGUGGGGAAUAUUGCAAAAUGGGAGAAAGCCGGAUGCAGCGACGCCGCGUGGGGGAUGACGGCCUUCGGGUUGUAAACUCCUUGCAGCCAUGACGAAGCCCUUGUGGUGACGGUAGUGGUAGAAGAAGCACCGGCUAACUACGUG
rnacentral:rRNA from 1 species